rnacentral:rRNA from 1 species
GAUGAACGCUAGCGGGAGGCCUAACACAUGCAAGCCGAGCGGUAUUGUUUCUUCGGAAAUGAGAGAGCGGCGUACGGGUGCGGGACACGUGUGCAACCUGCCUUUAUCUGGGGGAUAGCCUUUCGAAAGGAAGAUUAAUACUCCAUAAUAUAUUGAACGGCAUCGUUUAAUAUUGAAAGCUCCGGCGGAUAGAGAUGGGCACGCGCAAGAUUAGCUAGUUGGUGAGGUAACGGCUCACCAAGGCGAUGAUCUUUAGGGGGCCUGAGAGGGUGAUCCCCCACACUGGUACUGAGACACGGACCAGACUCCUACGGGAGGCAGCAGUGAGGAAUAUUGGUCAAUGGGUGCAAGCCUGAACCAGCCAUCCCGCGUGAAGGACGACUGCCCUAUGGGUUGUAAACUUCUUUUGUAUAGGGAUAAACCUACCCUCGCGAGGGUAGCUGAAGGUACUAUACGAAUAAGCACCGGCUAACUCCGUGCCAGCCGCCGCGGUAAGAC